rnacentral:rRNA from 1 species
UACGUAGGGGGCUAGCGUUGUCCGGAAUCAUUGGGCGUAAAGCGCGUGUAGGCGGCCCGGUAAGUCCGCUGUGAAAGUCGGGGGCUCAACCCUCGGAUGCCGGUGGAUACUGUCGGGCUAGAGUACGGAAGAGGCGAGUGGAAUUCCUGGUGUAGCGGUGAAAUGCGCAGAUAUCAGGAGGAACACCGGUGGCGAAGGCGGGUCUCUGGCCGAAAUUGACGCUGAGGAGCGAAAGCGUGGGGAGCAAACAGG